AGGAUUGACCCCUUCAGUGCCGCAGUUAACACAAUAAGUAAUCCACCUGGGGAGUACGACCGCAAGGUUGAAACUCAAAGGAAUUGACGGGGGCCCGCACAAGCAGUGGAGUAUGUGGUUUAAUUCGACGCAACGCGAAGAACCUUACCAAGUCUUGACAUCCCUUGACGAUGCUGGAAACAGUAUUUCUCUUCGGAGCAAGGAGACAGGUGGUGCAUGGUUGUCGUCAGCUCGUGUCGUGAGAUGUUGGGUUAAGUCCCGCAACGAGCGCAACCCUUAUGGUCAGUUACUACGCAAGAGGACUCUGGCCAGACUGCCGUUGACAAAACGGAGGAAGAUGGGGAUGACGUCAAAUCAUCAUGCCCUUUAUGACUUGGGCUACACACGUACUACAAUGGCGUUAAACAAAGAGAAGCAAGACCGCGAGGUGGAGCAAAACUCAGAAACAACGUCCCAGUUCGGACUGCAGGCUGCAACUCGCCUGCACGAAGUCGGAAUUGCUAGUAAUCGUAGAUCAGCAUGAUGCGGUGAAUACGUUCCCGGGCCUUGUACACACCGCCCGUCACACCAUGAGAGCCGGGGGGACCCGAAGUCUGUAAAGGAACCGCAAGGAGGACGCCGCCGAAGG
rnacentral:rRNA from 1 species